rnacentral:rRNA from 1 species
UACGUAGGGGGCAAGCGUUGUCCGGAAUCAUUGGGCGUAAAGAGCGUGUAGGCGGCCCGGUAAGUCCGCCGUGAAAGUCCAGGGCUCAACCCUGGGAUGCCGGUGGAAACUGUCGGGCUCGAGUCCGGAAGAGGCGAGUGGAAUUCCUGGUGUAGCGGUGAAAUGCGCAGAUAUCAGGAGGAACACCAAUGGCGAAGGCAGCUCGCUGGGACGGUACUGACGCUGAGACGCGAAAGCGUGGGGAGCGAACAGG